rnacentral:rRNA from 1 species
AGCGAACGCUGGCGGCAGGCCUAACACAUGCAAGUCGAACGGGCCUUUCGGGGUUAGUGGCGGACGGGUGAGUAACACGUGGGAACGUGCCUUUAGGUUCGGAAUGGCUCCUGGAAACGGGUGGUAAUGCCGAAUGUGCCCUUAGGGGGAAAGAUUUAUCGCCUUUAGAGCGGCCCGCGUCUGAUUAGCUAGUUGGUGAGGUAAUGGCUCACCAAGGCUACGAUCAGUAGCUGGUCUGAGAGGAUGACCAGCCACAUUGGGACUGAGACACGGCCCAAACUCCUGCGGGAGGCGGCAGUGGGGAAUCUUGCGCAAUGGGCGAAAGCCUGACGCAGCCAUGCCGCGUGGAUGAUGAAGGUCUUAGGAUUGUAAAGUCCUUUCACCGGUGAAGAUAAUGACUGUAGCCGGAGAAGAAGCCCCGGCUAACUUCGUGCCAGCCGCCGCCGUAA